CCUACGGGGGGCAGCAGUAGGGAAUCUUCCACAAUGCGCGAAAGCCUGACGCAGCAACGCCGCGUGGGUGAAGAAGGUCUUCGGAUCGUAAAGCUCUGUUGUUAGAGAAGAAAAUGCGUGAGAGUAACUGUUCACGUUUCGACGGUAUCUAACUAAAAAGCCACGGCUAACUACGUGCCAGCAGCCGCGGUAAUACGUAGGUGGCAAGCGUUGUCCGGAUUGAUUGGGCGUAAAGGGAACGCAGGCGGUCUUUUAAGUCUGAUGUGAAAGCCUUCGGCUUAACUGGAGUAGGGCAUUGGAAACUAGGAUACUUGAGUGCCGAAGAGGAGAGUGGAACUCCAUGGGUAGCGGUGAAAUGCGUAGAUAUAUGGAAGAACACCAGUGGCGAAGGCGGCUCUCUGGUCUGUAACUGACGCUGAGGUUCGAAAGCGUGGGUAGCAAACAGGAUUAGAUACCCUAGUAGUC
rnacentral:rRNA from 1 species